CAACAGUUAACUCUGCUUGAAAUAAGUCUAAAUGAAAUGGUAGCUGUAGUGCCUGUGCCCGGUGGGAGUACUUAUAUGGGUGGACAUGAAGUAAGUUACAGGCGUGCGAGGCUACAGGGGAGAAAGUUUCUAAGGAUCUGAAGGUUGCAAAUGCAGUACAGACUUGAUUGAAUUUGGCUUGAAUAUUGCCACAGAAGAAUGCACUGAUGAACAACAUUAAGCAACAUGCCAAGAAAGGUAUACGUACAAUUAUCUUCCUGUACAGCAUAUGUAAUGGAUGUGGCAGCUCAUAUGUACUCUCAGUUGACCAAAGCAAAGCCCUUUUCUAAACCUUUAAUGUCCAAUUGUGCAUGUCUCCUCAAAUGUUUUGCCCAGCUCUAUUAAAACAAGAUCAAAGUUAUCAAAUUGGAAGCAGCUUGAGUAGUGAAGCAUUUUGGCCUCUACUCUACAUUAUCUGUAUUGAUGUGAUUAUGAGAUCCCAUUAACUAACUACAGAUGUUCUAUAGUUCAUACA